UAAAUAACCUCACCCACACCUGACCACAAACCCUAGCCGCCAGUGCCUCGCCGGAGAAGAAGAACCAGACGUCGGAGGAGCCGGUCGCCACUACCUGCACCCGCACCGAAAAUUUUUCCAACCGCCAAAAGAGGUAAAUUUUCUUUCCUUGGCUCGUUUUUCAAUGCUGAAUCUGCCUAUGGCCAAAUCGAAGCCAAACCACCAACAAAUCGGCCGAAAAAUACCACCGAAGUCCAGCGGCGCCGCCGCGGCUUCCCUCUGUUUCUGCCUCCGAUGAGGCCCUUCCCGACCACCGUUCGAUGCAAUUUUUAUACCACUGUGAUCACCGUCCUUUUUUCUAUAGGUUGAACGGAGCAAAACAUCAAAACGCGACUCGCGUCGGAGAAGCCGCUGCACCCGAGAGCACCGUCGCUGGUAAGUCUCAGUUUUUCAUGAUUUUUUGGCCCACCGAGGGCCCUAGGGUUGUUUUAUCGCAGGAACCAAUGUAAGUUUGGCCAAAUUCGGUCGAAAACGGCCAACCCGAGGCU
rnacentral:lncRNA from 1 species